GCUGGGCGUGGUGGUGCACACCUGUAGUCCCAGCUACUUGGGAGGCUGAGCAGGGAGGAUUUCUUGAGCCCAGGAGUUCAAGGCUGCAGUGAGCUAUGAUCACACCACUGUACUCCAGCCUGGGCAACAGAGCAAGAUCCUGUCUCUA
rnacentral:sRNA from 1 species